UUAGCGAACAAGUACACUGAGCAUGACUAUUUAGUUGAACAGUCACAUGGUUCCAUAUUCGCCAGUGACUAGUUCUUUGCUACCGUUGUGUGAAGUACUCUUCGGACCUGAGGCAUCAUGGUUGCUUCACAUAUAGAUUGCUACUGUUUGACUGUACUAAUACUUAGACUCUAAUCAUUGGUCUAUGUCUGGUACUGAUUGGCUGUAGUAGUUUAUAUGGGGAGGCGUGUGAAUGCGCAAUAAGGAAUU
rnacentral:lncRNA from 1 species